UCAUUAUCCGUUGCUUGCGAAGUGCCGUCUGGGGCAACCCGGCGGCACCCAGCUCGCUAUCCUUUGCCUAUCAACCACCUAUCGUUACUUCCCUCGGUGGAUCCGUCCACCGACGGGAACCCAAAACCCUCCUGUAUACAAGCGUGAACAAUCUAAAAUCCCUAAACGUUACAACUUUCAACAAUGGAUCUCUUGGCUCUGGCAUCGAUGAAGAACGCAGCGAAAUGCGAUAAGUAGUGUGAAUUGCAGGCUUUAGUGAAUCAUCGAAUCUUUGAACGCACAUUGCGCCCCUUGGCAUUCCAUUGGGCAUGCCUGUUCNAGCGUCAUAUACACCCUCNAGCUACGCUUGGUGUUGGGCGUCUGUCCGCGUCUCCGUGGACUCGCCUCAAAUGCAUUGGCAGCGGCUCCGCCGGCUUCUCGCGCAGCACUCUUUGCGCACACGGGAGGCCAUCGGCGGGCUCGCGUCCAUCAAGGAACCACCGUUUGACCUCGAAUCAGGUAGGGAUACCCGCUGAACUUAAGCAUAUCAAUAAGCGGAGGAAAAGAAACCAACAGGGAUUGCCUCAGUAACGGCGAGUGAAGCGGCAAAAGCUCAAAUUUGAAAUCUGGCUCCCUCCGGGGGCCCGAGUUGUAAUUUGCAGAGGGUGCUUUGGCGUGGGCGGCGGUCUAAGUUCCUUGGAACAGGACGUCGCANAGGGUGAGAACCCCGUACGUGGCCGUCCGCCUUCGCCGUGUAAAGCCCCUUCGACGAGUCGAGUUGUUUGGGAAUGCAGCUCUAAAUGGGAGGUAAAUUUCUCCUAAAGCUAAAUACUGGCCAGAGACCGAUAGCGCACAAGUAGAGUGAUCGAAAGAUGAAAAGCACUUUGGAAAGAGAGUCAAAAAGCACGUGAAAUUGUUGAAAGGGAAGCGCUUGCAGCCAGACGUGCCCGCGGUCGUUCUCUUCCGCGGGCAGGCCAGCAUCGGUCCGGGCGAUCGGAUAAAGGCCUCUGUCAAGUACCACCCUCCGGGGUGGCCUUAUAGGGGAGGUGCAAUGCGAUCAGCCUGGACCGAGGU
rnacentral:rRNA from 1 species